rnacentral:rRNA from 1 species
AGAGUUUGAUCCUGGCUCAGGAUGAACGCUAGCGGCAGGCUUAAUACAUGCAAGUCGAACGGGAUUCGGGGUAGCAAUACUUUGAUGAGAGUGGCGCACGGGUGCGUAACGCGUAUGCAACCUACCUUUAACAGGGGAAUAGCCCCGAGAAAUCGGGAUUAAUACUCCGUAACAUUGCGGUGUGGCAUCACACUGCAAUUAAAGAUUUAUCGGUUAAAGAUGGGCAUGCGUGACAUUAGCUAGUUGGUGAGGUAACGGCUCACCAAGGCAACGAUGUCUAGGGGUCCUGAGAGGGUUAUCCCCCACACUGGUACUGAGACACGGACCAGACUCCUACGGGAGG